AUUGAACGCUGGCGGCAGGCCUAACACAUGCAAGUCGAACGGCAGCGGGGAGUAGCUUGCUACUCUGCCGGCGAGUGGCGGACGGGUGAGUAAUGCCUGGGGAGCUGCCCAGUCGAGGGGGAUACCAGUUGGAAACGACUGCUAAUACCGCAUACGCCCUGAGGGGGAAAGGUGGGGAUCUUCGGACCUAUCGCGAUUGGAUGCACCCAGGUGGGAUUAGCUAGUUGGUGAGGUAACGGCUCACCAAGGCGACGAUCUCUAGCUGGUCUGAGAGGAUGACCAGCCACACGGGAACUGAGACACGGUCCAGACUCCUACGGGAGGCAGCAGUGGGGAAUAUUGCACAAUGGGGGAAACCCUGAUGCAGCCAUGCCGCGUGUGUGAAGAAGGCCUUCGGGUUGUAAAGCACUUUCAGCGAGGAGGAAAGGGUGGCAGCUAAUACCUGUCAUCUGUGACGUUACUCGCAGAAGAAGCACCGGCUAACUCCGUGCCAGCAGCCGCGGUAACAC
rnacentral:rRNA from 1 species